rnacentral:lncRNA from 10 species
CAGAAGCAUGUGAUCUUUGUUCUCCUUUUUGCCCUUUGAAGCAUGUGAUCUUUGUGACCUACUCCCUGUUCAUACACCCCCUCCCCUUUUAAAGUCCUCAAUAAAAACCUGUUGGUUUUGUGGCUCAGGUGGGCAUCAUGGACCUACCGAUAUGUGAUGUCACCCCCAGCGGCCCAGCUGUAAAAUUCCUCUCUUUGUACUCUUUCUAUUUCUCAGACCAGCUGACACUUGGAGAAAAUAGAAAGAACCUACGUUGAAAUAUUGGGGGCCUGCAGGAGAUCAAGGCUAAGGGCAAGGAGCGGAAGGGAGACACACAAGAUGCUCAAGUCUUUAAAAAUCCCCAUUGGGAGAAUCACGCUACAAAUGGACAAAUCACAUCCUGAAACGGUGGACUCUCUGAAGACCUUACAAAACAGCCUUCAGGCCUGAUCUGUCUCCUUUCCCAGCUUGAACUGUGUUUUCCUAAAGUGGUUUCACUUUCCUCCUUCUCCAAAAGGUGGCAUCAGAAAGGAGGGAGCAGGAAGGCACAGGCCAAACGCUCAUCUCAAUGGCUGCCUCAGCCAUGCUCUGACAAGUGAGCUGAUGGGAAAAUUGCUCCUAAUUAAAUCACUUCAUUAAAAAGAGACCAUUUUCCAAGCGAAUGCACUCCGCAGUUCUCGUGGUGGGUAAUUUGUUGUGUUAAUAAGCUGGAGAGGUUGAAUUCCAAGGUUGCAGCCGCUGACAGCCUGCAGAAAUAGGGACCAUAUUUUGGCAAUGCCCUUGCCCUGUCGAGGGUACCGAGGAAAGCUGACAAAUGGCAGUUCCUUAUAAUAGUUUUGCUCACUGGAGACCUGAGGGGCUGAGAAUGAUGUUUUCUAGUCUGUAGGUUUAGGAUGCCAACAAGAUAAAACAAAUACCCAGAAAAAGGCGCUGUGUCUUUUGUUCGCUGAAAAAUAAACAGGGGAGGACUUCCCUUUUGUAGAUCCCACUGUGAUAGAGGAAGAGGGUGCUUCUUCAGCUGUAUUUGAACCGAAGCAUGGAAAAUUGCCAUCUGCAUUCAACUCUGUGGUUUUAGGGCAGCUGGAUAGGCAGUGCUGCACAGUCUGAGGCUGUGGACGUUGAAGUUAGACCAAGUGUCAGUUCCAAUCCUAAUACUUACCAGCUGUGACACCUUGAACAUGCAUGGUAAUCUCUCUAAGCCUCAUUUUCCUCAUCU